rnacentral:rRNA from 1 species
UACGGGGGGGGGCAAGCGUUGUUCGGAAUUACUGGGCGUAAAGGGUGCGUAGGUGGCGGGGUAAGUCAGGUGUGAAAUCUCGGAGCUCAACUCCGAAACUGCACUUGAUACUGCCUUGCUCGAGUACUGGAGAGGAGAUUGGAAUUUACGGUGUAGCAGUGAAAUGCGUAGAUAUCGUAAGGAAGACCAGUGGCGAAGGCGAAUCUCUGGACAGUUACUGACACUGAGGCACGAAGGCCAGGGGAGCAAACAGG